GCCUGAUUGGCUCAAUGGUAGAGCGUCUCCCUCCUAUAACGGUGUCAAGGAGAAGGUUGCGGGUUCGAUUCCCGUGUUAGGUU